rnacentral:rRNA from 1 species
ACGUGCUACAAUGGCAUAUACAAAGAGAAGCGAACUCGCGAGAGCAAGCGGACCUCAUAAAGUAUGUCGUAGUCCGGAUUGGAGUCUGCAACUCGACUCCAUGAAGUCGGAAUCGCUAGUAAUCGUAGAUCAGAAUGCUACGGUGAAUACGUUCCCGGGCCGUU